CGUUUUGUUUGCCAUUCAGC
rnacentral:miRNA from 1 species